UCCUUUUUUGAGUCUCAAAAUUGUUCCUAACAAACAGUUAACAUUAAUAACUUCUUCAAGAGUCCUGAAGCAUUGGAGUCAACCCAGGAAUAAUGAACCGAAGAAAGAAACUCAAAUGGAGGGACGGUAAAUGAAGCAGUCAGGCUUUGCUGAAAUGGUGGAGUUCCCGCUUGCAUGGACCGUCUAUGACAUCACUUUCCAGAAGAGUGUGUAUUAGUGAGUGUGCACUUCUUAUGAGCCU